UAAUAAUAAUAAUAAUAAUAAUAAUGAUAGUAAAAGAACAAAAUAAAAAAAAAUUAGGGGAUAGAUUUUAAAAUGACAUAAAAAGAUAAUAAAGGACUAAAGUGAAACACGCGUCAAGAAGGAGGGACUCAUCGCGCAAUAUCCCCAUUCUUUAUACGCAUCAUUUUGCAGGACUGGAAUAGAAUAGACGCGAAAAAAUAGGGUUAAAUUGAAAAUACUAAAAAAAGGGAAAAUGACCAAAUUGAAGCCAAUCAUAAAAGCGGAGGGAUCCGCAGCGCAAAUAACCCGUUCGGUCUUGAAACGCGCGGAUCCUCUGCUAAACGGGUCGGGUCACGGGUCGGCCUCCCCAAAACGACGUCAUUUUGCAUCUGGGGAGGCCACCCAAAACGCUGUCGUUUCGGUUUUCUAUUUACGGCCCCUUUAUUUUUUUUAUUCAUUCCUUCCUCAUUAAAAAAAAAACUGCAAAACUCUCUCAUGCUCUCCAUGCCUUCCGACGAUCGGGCCUCUCACCGCCGAUCCCCCGUCCGCCGCAUCGCCACCAAAUCGACGGCCGACGAAGCAUGAGGAAGGGUUUUUAAAGCCCGGUUCCAGGCGGGCUGUGGGGUCGGGCUUUCGAGCCCCACAAGGACCGAAACAGAGGCCCACGACCCUACCUCUCGGAAUUUGGUCUCGACGACGGAGAUCCGCCCUCCGAAGGCGGUCACGGGGCGUCCGGUAAUUGAUGGGUGGUGGUAGUGAGUAGGUGGAGCAGAGGGCAGACGAUGGGACGUGACAUGCGGCGCACAUGGUCCUAGUGUGUAGCGCUGGAGGAGGGACUAGGGUUAGGAUUUCAGUUGUGUUUUACUAAAACUUAGUUAAUGUUUUGGGCCGUCGGGCUUUGGGCUUGUAACUUGGGUUUUUUAAAUUGGGCUAGUAUUGUAAUGUGAACUGGACUAUUAUUUGGGUUUUAUUAUUAUUUUUUGUUUUGAUUCUUUGGCCCCGGGCAAAAAUGGGCCUUUACAGGAACCUUUUCUCUUUUUCUCAUUACUACUUAUGGGGUUAGGAUUUUAAAACAAAUUUAAUGGGCUUGGCUA